GUCAUUGUCAGAUGGCAUAUGAGUUUAAUAAAGUACACCUAUGGCAGAAAUAACAGCUUUCAGGUUUCCUCUAGCCAGCUAAGAAUUUCUUGUAGGAUUUAUCCCUCAUCCCUUUGUAGAUUUCUUCCAACUCAACUAUAUUCGGUCUCCAUUGGCUGCAUGUUUUGAGAUUUUUUGCAGAUUUUCAACAUUCAUCUAAGGAUUGAAAAGAUCAUUCCAAAACCUUCAUACUUUUCCUUCCUGUGAGCACAUCAUGGUUUGAAGAGAAUUGCCUUGUCAAAAUAUUUUUUUCCAACAUCCUCAGAUAAGUACUUUUGAUAAUUAUUUGUGAGAAUGUUAUUUGGGCUUAUGUAUUUUUCCCUUCCUCUCGCUUUGUAUUCAAGUCUGCCUUAGGCAUACAAAAUCAAUUUUAUUGAUUCCAUUUUCUCAAUUUGUAUAAACAAUACAAGUUCUCCUUGUGGCAUCUUAAUAGCUGAAAUAGCAGCCUUGUAUUCUUGGCAGACAAAACACUUGGCAUUCCCUGGCAAUGUACAAUUAAAACAUACUAUAGAACAAACUGUGAGGUAGUUUAAAUCUUUUUUAAACAUGAAAAUUACUACUUGACUUAACUAUAGAUAACUAAACAUGUCUAAGCAUAAAGAUACAAAAAUUAGAUAGGGUACACACAUGGUUAGGGAGUGAAUCAGACUACAAUUAUCUCUCAUUCUGUUAAUUGGAUGAGUAUAUACAUGCAUAAAGCAAAAAGUGUUACAACUAUUAGAAUUUUUAAUUACAUACGAAGUAUGUACUUUCUUCUUACAUAUAUAAACAAAAGAUAUAUGCCAUGUUGUCCAAAUGGAUUUUCAGUCACUCAAUGAGAAUUCAGCUCAGUGUUUUGUCCUGCCACUGGUUCCAUAUACCCUAACAUGCUGGAGCCAAUAUGGGAUGCAAAAGGGAACUUUUUGGGUAGUCCAGAAAAAGAACAUCACUGGAUACAAUCUAGAUCUUUUUAAUAAGAGUGUUACAUACUUGAGUAUAAAACACACCUUGGGCUGCAGAAAAAUAUAAGUACCAGAUCAAACAGAACUAUGUCACAUGAAUAAGUUCACAUGCUUGAAUUAUUUUAUCGAGUGUUCCAGCAAAUUUGAUAUAUAACACAAAGGUACCCCUAGUCAAAACAGCAAAAGUCAAAAGCAUGAAAUAGUUAUUUAAAGUGUCCAAAAUGGUUCUCUGAAUUUCAUUAAGAGAAUGUACACCGGAACUCCUAUUCUUGUAAAGAGUGUCAGGGAUAAAUUUAUGAAUGCUAAAUGGCUUUACCCAAGGAUGCAUAUUGCAUGUUAUGGUUUGACUGACAGUACAGUUUGGCACAAAUUUAUGGAAGGUAAUUAUAUCAGAUUUUAACAUUACUAGUUUUAAUGACUAUGUGAAAUAGUGUUGAAACUGGCUUAGUACCAAUUUUCAGGAUAGAAAAUCUGUUUUUAAUCAUUCACCUUCAAAAUUUGUUCUUAUACCAUGUAACAAUGUAUUUGAAAAUAUAUUUCCAUAUUUCUAAGUUCUUUUAGUUAAUUGCCAGUGGAAAAAGCCAGAGCAUUUAGGUAGUAAUGUUUUUCACUUAUAUAUUUUGCCAAAGAAUAAGCCAGAUCACAGACUUUCAAAACAAUAUUACUGGCAUAUCAAUUAACAAUUUAAAAUGUAGCAAUUGAAACUGCUGUUAACCUUGAACAAGAGUGUCAUCAUACCAAUAAUAUUGGUCUCAGUAUGCAUGAAAUGUUUAUUUUUAAUUACGUUAGUGCAAUUCUGGUAACAAUCAUUAUUUUGUGGUU